CCACAAGGUGGGGCAGUGGCAAUGUCUGCAAGCCUACUUUUGCAAGAGCUAACAGGUUCAUCACCAGCAUCUCCUUUACACCUCUUCUUUAACCUUUUGUAAUCUUCAAGAGAAUAAUGAGACCUGAUAUUUGAUGAUUUCUUAUCAUGCCUAGGUGUUAAUUCAUUUUGUACAUCUUCACACGCUUCCGUUUCACUUCCUUUCCUCUUCUUCCUCAUCACAACCAAUUAGGAAUCUCAAAUGCAAACUCCGUUAACAAUACAUGGAACUAAAAAAAAAAAGAAACGGAUUAUUCCAUUUGUGUAGUACUGCACCCAAGGAAACAAAAGAAUUAAUAUCAAAAUCGAUUCGGCAAGCUUCUGAUUGCCCAAAAUGAGAGAAAAACUAAAUCAAAUUAGUUUUGCCAUAGUUUUUUUUUACUAUUCCAAAUCCCUUCACCCUUUGAGCUAUGUUUGGUCCCCUGAUAAACCCUAAAACCACUCGAAUUGAAAAAGUGUUUGAUUACUUCACAUUUGAUAAGCACCAUAAGGAAUCAAAAGUAACACCAACCGAAACACCAACACUUUCAUUAUUCCUCAAUAAACUCUAAUUAAUCAAAUAUAUUAAGAGGACAAAUGAAAAACUAGGGCACAGAUCGAACCUCAUAGGCCAAAAUGUCCUUCGAAUUCAGAGGCAAAACUGAUAAAUUCCGCCCAGAAAGCAAUAAAAUACAUGCAUAUAACACAAAUCGGGUGGUUCGUUACUAACGGAACUUAGAAACGGAUCGAUACUGGAAUCCUUAGAAAUCUCAGAUUCAAGAUAUGGGUCAAAAUCUUAAAUAAUCAAGAAUAGGAAGGGAGAAAAAAUCAAUCUUUAUUGGACUGCGAGAGCGAAGGACAGAGAGGGCCAGAUGGUGAUGGGGUUUUACGUUCAAUCAAUCUUUAUUAUCCAGCCGACACGUCCGCUUAUGAGGCUCUGGCUCUUCUAAAUUCGGGUCUAACCCAAAUACCCAACAGUACACCUCUAGAGUCCUCAUAUUUCCAUGUGAGAUAGAGAAGUCGACAGCAACCCGGAGAAAACAGCGAAGAUGUCUCAGUGCAUGAGAACCUUAAACCCUCCAAAAACCCUUCUCAAUAACUCCAAUCUCGCAAUACCAAUUCGAAUUUCCCUUCAAUCCCUUCCUUUGAACCAAAACCCAAAUCAAAAUCGAAGAGAUACUCGAGGAUAUCUGUAAUGUCAGCACAUAAUCAAACCCAGCAACAAAAAUUGUCGCUUGAUACUCUAAUCAACAGUAGCCGCAAAGAGGAGGUCCUUGGCGCCAUUAAAGGCUCAUUAUCUAAUUGUCUCUCGGAGACAAAUAUGCAUUUGACGGUUCCCGGUCUUAAAUCCAAAACCAGAGGCAAGGUGAGAGACAUUUAUGACGCUGGGGAUUAUCUUGUCUUGGUCACAACUGAUCGGCAGAGUGCAUUUGAUAGAACUCUCGCUUCUAUGCCCUUUAAAGGCCAGGUUCUAAAGGAGGCGAGUCUCUGGUGGUUCAAUAGAACUCAACGCAUUACUCAGAAUGCAGUUGUUUCUGCUCCUGAUAAAAAUGUUACGAUUGCAAAGAAAUGCUCAGUUUUCCUGUUGAAUUUGUUGGUGAGUGUUUCAAGUGCAGGUUUUGGAUUUUUAUUUCCUUUUUCUUGCUGGCUUCAUAUGAAAAAUGUUUUAGAAAGUAUCCAAUUCUGCAAUUUUUGUGGCAAUUUAUCUUGUUUGGAAUAGCUUGUAAAUGGUAACUUUGAAGAUGACUUAUAGACUUAUCAUUAAACUGGUAUCUUGUAUACUUACUUUUGUAUGAUAUGCAACAUGUUUAAAAAAUUUCAAUUAUCUAUUCUAACUUUGGGGGGAAUUUUUGUAAUUCAUAUGAAGGUCAAUCAAUGAAUUCAGAUGAAUAACAGAAAGUUGCUCUAAUGAACAGUGGUUCAUUUCUCAUGGGGAAAUAAGUUUGAUAUGUAGCUGUUUAAGGGUGAGGAUUCUUGGUCCUGAAUUAUUUGGCUGAUCUUACUUGUGCUGCUAAUCUGUAGUUAGAGGUUAUGUGACUGGAAGUACUGAUACAUCACUAUGGACAGUCUACAAAAAUGGUAUCCGAAAUUACUGCAGCAAUGCCUUUCCAGAUGGUGUGCUUCCUGUUUCAUCAAUUGGUUUUUUCCCUCUAAAAAUCUUGGCCAUUAAAUAAUGUGGACUGAUCUGUUACUGUGUUAUAGUUUUGGUAAAAAACCAGAAGCUGACUGUAAAUAUACUCACUCCAACAACCAAGGCUGCAGAUCAUGAUGUUCCUGUAGCUCCAAGCGAGGUUUGAUUAUAAAUUCCAAUUUGAACUUUGAAAUAUAGGACAAUAGUCUUGUAAAAACUUUUUUCCAGGUUGCAUUCUCUCUAAAUGAGCUCAUGUGUGUUGUGUUUAUGCCUCAUGGAGUCAUGGCUGGCUUAUAUACUUUAUGGAGUAUUAUUCUUUUCAGCUGUUGGUUUAAUUGUCUUAUACUCUCAUCUUCUUCAUUUGCCUAGCAGAUAAUUGAGCGGGGAUUAAUGACUCAAGCUGAUUAUGAUGAAGCCAGUAGAAAAGCAUUGAGCUUAUUUGAGUAUGGACAGCGUGUGGCUUUGGAGCAUGGCUUGAUAUUAGUAGACACAAAAUAUGAGUUUGGAAAAGGCUCAGAUGGUUCAAUUCUAUUGAUUGAUGAGGUUUGAAAUUAUUUCACUAUGGUAAUUUACUGUUCUCACUAUCACUGAUUUACUGUGCUCCUAGACCAACCAAUAAAUUUCAUAAUGAGUUUAAACAUCUUUUCCUGCGAUGGUUGGUGCAUACACCUGACUCAAGCAGAUAUUGGAUUGCCCAUUCUUAUGAAGAACGCUUUCAGAAAGGUCUUGAACCUGAAAAUGUUGAUAAGGAGUUCUUGCGGCUGUGGUUCAAGGAUCAUUGUGAUCCAUACAAAGAUGAGGUCCUUCCUGAUGCUCCUGAAGAACUUGUUUGUGAGCUAGCUUGGAGGUAAACCUUUUAUGCUGCUAUUCAUUUACUGAGAAAUGAAUAAAUGGUGAGUCACCUGAGGAUGAUAGUGAGGACUGAGGAAAUCCUACCGAAUUGACUAUUAAAUACCUCAGAAUGUCAACGGUCUUCACCAUAAAUUUCAUUUGUUGUUUCUGACAAUGGUUGAUGAAAUGGACUCCCUACAAGUGAAAACUUAUAAGACUUUUUAUACCUUAAUUUUUGGAAAAAUAGUCUACCAUAUUAUCCAUAUUAAUUGGCUCUGAUUUUUUCCUCUCUUGUAUGAUAGAUAUAUUUUCCUGUACGAGAAGAUAACUAAAUCAAAAUUUGAGGUGCCAUUGUUAGAGGAACCAAUACACGAUCGGAUCUCAAAAAAUGUUGAAUUAGCAUUAUCAUCCUUGAAGUGAUUCUAGGCGUGAGGCUCCACAUGCUUCUCUGAUUGAGAUUACAGCAGGAAUUGGAGACUCACCUUUCUUUGACGCUAUUUUAUGCGUUUGGUCUUUGGCUAUGCUAAUUUCCAGAGGCCUUGGUUUAUGAUUGAGUUGUGCAUAAUAGGCCAAAUUAUUCUGGGUCAACUCACUCAUAUUACAAAUAAUCAGCUGGUCUAUUGUGUGCUCAUCUUCAUGGUGCAUUUUCAUUGAAAAUAGAAAUGAAUGAAUUUAUGCAAUACUAUCCCAAGAUCCCACCUGAAUCUUAUGAGAACCUGUGAUGGUCAUUCUGCUUGUUAUGUUCUCCCAUUUGACAAAUAUAAUAGGUGGUUGAAAGGUGAAACAUGCCAGAUAGAUGUGAACUAAUGGUACUCAAAAACAAAGUUUGCCACUGCCAGUGCCUUUCGCGAAGCACCGGAAACUUCCAGCAACAAAUUUCAAUUUAAUGCGAGGAGUAGUGGGUUGGGGGAGAAAAAUAGUGAUUCUAUAAUGGUUGAAUUGAUGAUUUAAUUCAAGGACUUGGAGUGAGACGGAGAAGAAAAAAUUAGCAACCCUAGACCUUUUCAAGAACCCGACGAAUUGCACAAAAUGAUUUGCAUAAUCAAAGCAGGCAAAGCAUGGUACACAGUGAAUUUUUUGGACUAGAGCUGGAAUUGGACUGGGGGUUUCGUUUAAGGGUUAAGGGACUGGAAUCCAAUCUAAGGGUCUCUUUGGAUCUAGCUUUGAUCUGGUUUUAAUUUUAAUUUGAUCGAUUCGGCAUAGUUUUAAUUAAACCUAAAGUGUUUUUUUUUUAUUAAAUGAUUUUGGUUUUGAUAAUUUAGAUUUAACUGAUUUUGGUUCUAAAUUAGACUGGUCCAAUUCUAAUUCAAAGCCGGACUGCCGCCAAGGGUCCCAGAGAGGAAUAUGCUGGGAAGAUUCUGCUGUAACUCAUUGACCUCUUAAAAUUUAUAUUGUUCAAAGGCUCAAAUUGGUGGUUACAACACAUAAGAGCUACAUUUAGACAUCUGCCUGUGCCCGGUAGAAAAUAGAAAUGGCUGCAAGUGUAAGUCUGUUUGGAUAUUGGGCGAGUCCUUUCACCCUCAGAGUCAAGUGGGCUUUGAAACUUAAA
rnacentral:misc_RNA from 1 species